CUCGGUGUUGACGAAGAGAGCCCAGCAGGGGAAGCAGCAAAGCAGCAGGAUGAGGGUGCCACGCUGCAGGAUGGUCCCCACCCGCUUCAUGUUCUUACCGCCGUACGUCUGGGGAAGAGAAGUGUUGCCAAGAGAAAGAAAACCUCUGCAGGCGCAAGACACAACCAAAGGGAACAAGUAAACGAGCCGGCCAUAGGACAGUUCCCCACCUGGGACAUUAGGGUGUCGCAUGCCGAUGCUAAGCCAGAGCCGACUGAGAUGCCGGUAACAUUGAUAACCUGGAGAUGAGAGCACAAAGACACAAAGCAACCGAUCAGGGAAGGAGGAAGCUCAGGCUGCCAGGGGGAAGCUGUAAGCUUCAGGAUCAUCUUUCAGCAACUGAUUCCCUGUGGCUGUUGCUUCCCGAGUCGCAGUCUCUGCCUCCAUCACAGGAGGACACAGCCUGCUUUACCAGGGGAUGCCAAGACAGCCAGCAAAACGGGUUCCGAUCUGAAGAGUGGAGGAAGAAUCCCACCCCAGAGAGGUAAAAGCUUGUGACCUGUCACCUGGAGGGGUUGCACUCAGAGAGUGCGAGGGCUGAAAGGUGCUGCUAGCCCUGAAUUGUGACAGCAGGUUGCUAGGGUCUUGGGCAAAAAACACCUCCAGCAAUACUACAAGCAAGUCGCCUUUUAAAUGCUGGAUGCUGGUGCAGCCAUCCCCCAUAAGUCGGAGCAGGGACUAACAGCUGCCCAGUUGCAUGAAAAAAAUCAAAACCUACUUGGCAACCUACCAGCUCACCCACAUGGGAUGGAGACAACCUCUGAUUGUUACCUGCUUAUUCUCCAAAAGGUUCUCGUCACUUGCAACAGUGCUGUGACCCCCAUCACCAGUGAAGAUGUACCCUGGAGGUCAAAAUAGAUGGAUAGGGGAAAAAACUUGAAUCACAAAAUAAGGACAUCUGGAAGAAAGGGUUUCAGAGGACCUAGUAAUGGAGACACAAAGGAUGAAAAAUAGUUUGAGGGAAAACAACAAGGAAAACAGGAUGCAGCAGGAUAUGGGAGGAAAAGUAGGAAAUAGGAAGACUAAAGGAAAAGGAGGGAAAAGAACAUUGGGCUUGAUAUUCAAAAGGGUAGAAGCUUAGGGCCAAUUUCUCACCUAAGGUGCACCUGCAAUCCCUGUGAAUUGCUCAUGAUACUGAACACCUACUUGCUCUAAUAUCCAUUUGUGCAUUUUGUAUGAAAAUCAGGCUUGUAUUUGCAUACACAUUUUCUCCACAUGACUCUGGACUUCUGUCUUUUUGAAAAUCAGGUCCAGCAGGGUGUUUUUCUUUUCUUUAAGUUCCAUGGUAAAUUCUCUUAUGCAUCUGCUUUUAAUCUAUGGCAUCAUGGUGAUUUAGCCACUGCUACCUAAAAAAAACCCAAAUCCAAAAACAAACAACCUGAACAUUUCCCUGGUUUUUGGAUAUCUUAAUUUCAUCUCCAGUCCGGCCCCCUUUUGAGGCCAUUGAUCCCCCUCAAUUUCAUUUGGAUAAACUGACAGGCAUAAAUCUUUGUUUUACUUUCUCCAGAUCCUAAUCUCCCAAUCGGGGUUGCUUGGCUCUGGGAUUUUGGUUUGGAUCCUUCUGUAAUAGUAAGAUACUCAUACGGUCAUUUACAAAUAUUUACAUAUUGAUAAGAUCUAUGUUUAAUGUCUUCAUAUUACCUUCCUACUGACCUCUCCCCCUACUCAGCCACCAACAGAUCCCCUUUGCCCCUCUCUACUUAUUUCUCUGUGGCUACUCCUUCCUGUCCUAGCUCUCCACAACCCCACCUUCCCUUUUCUGGCAGCUUGUGUCUUCACAAAUGGUAUAGCCAGGCCUGAGCCGAAGUCCAUGCAGUCUCUAGGCACAAGUGGGAGAGUU